AGUGAACGCUGGCGGUAGGCCUAACACAUGCAAGUCGAACGGCAGCACAGUAAGAGCUUGCUCUUACGGGUGGCGAGUGGCGGACGGGUGAGGAAUACAUCGGAAUCUACUUUUUCGUGGGGGAUAACGUAGGGAAACUUACGCUAAUACCGCAUACGACCUACGGGUGAAAGCGGGGGAUCUUCGGACCUUGCGCGAUUGAAUGAGCCGAUGUCGGAUUAGCUAGUUGGCGGGGUAAAGGCCCACCAAGGCGACGGUCCGUAGCUGGUCUGAGAGGAUGAUCAGCCACACUGGAACUGAGACACGGUCCAGACUCCUACGGGAGGCAGCAGUGGGGAAUAUUGGACAAUGGGCGCAAGCCUGAUCCAGCCAUACCGCGUGGGUGAAGAAGGCCUUCGGGUUGUAAAGCCCUUUUGUUGGGAAAGAAAAGCAGCAGGUUAAUACCCCGCUGUUCUGACGGUACCCAAAGAAUAAGCACCGGCUAACUUCGUG
rnacentral:rRNA from 1 species